UACGGAGGGAGCUAGCGUUAUUCGGAAUUACUGGGCGUAAAGCGUACGUAGGCGGCUUUGCAAGUUAGAGGUGAAAGCCUGGAGCUCAACUCCAGAACUGCCUUAAAACUGCAUCGCUUGAAUCCAGGAGAGGUGAGUGGAAUUCCGAGUGUAGAGGUGAAAUUCGUAGAUAUUCGGAAGAACACCAGUGGCGAAGGCGGCUCACUGGAGCUGGUAUGACGCUGAGGUACGAAAGCGUGGGGAGCAACAGG
rnacentral:rRNA from 1 species